rnacentral:rRNA from 1 species
UACGUAGGGUGCGAGCGUUGUCCGGAAUUAUUGGGCGUAAAGAGCUCGUAGGCGGCUCGUUGCGUCGGCUGUGAAAACCCGCAGCUCAACUGUGGGCUUGCAGCCGAUACGGGCGGGCUGGAGUUCGGUAGGGGAGACUGGAAUUCCUGGUGUAGCGGUGAAAUGCGCAGAUAUCAGGAGGAACACCGGUGGCGAAGGCGGGUCUCUGGGCCGAUACUGACGCUGAGGAGCGAAAGCGUGGGGAGCGAACAGG